AUCCUUACCUGGCAGGGGAGAUACCAUGAUCACAAAGGUGGUUUUCCCAGGCGAGGCUUAUCCUUUUCACUUCAGAUGUGCUGACCCCUGUGAUUUCUCCAAAUGUGGGAAACUCAACUGCAUAAUUUGUGGUAGUGGGAGACUGUGUUCGUGCUUUCCCCUU
ensembl:snRNA U1 U1 spliceosomal RNA